AAGCGGCGGCGUGAGUUCGGCCGAGGCGAGAGUGGCCAUGGCUGGCGCGUGGACGCGGAGGUCUGCCGGGCUGCUGGCCUGCUGCUGCUUCUUGGCGGGGCUGUGGCUGCCUUCCCUGCCGGCAGCCUCCUCCUCCUCCUCCUUCUCCUCCCCUUCGGCGAGCCCCAGGAUCCUCACUCCCCCGAGAGGGAGCAAACAAUUCCAAUUUGAAACACCCGAGAACCACGUGGUGCUUUACCACGAAGAAGGGGCGCCGUCCGUAUUUGUGGGAGCAGAAAACAAACUGUACGUCUACAACUUUGAGACCAACACCAGUCACACGGAGCCCUUUGAUGUCACGGCAAGUCCGCCAGACUGCAGACAGGAGGACAGCAAGAACUAUCUCACACUCUUGGAGAAGUAUGAAGACAAGUUGUUGAUUUGUGGAACCAAUGCUUGUAACCCUACCUGCUGGAAUUGGGUGAAUGAUACGAAGCAAGCUCGGAAGGGUGCGCAAGGCCUGGCCCCAUUUGGCCUGGACCCGAACGCUCUCGUCCUUAUUGAUGGCAAAGACAUCUACUCCACGAUAAAGAAGCACCGGUAUAAUGGGCGAAUUCCUCGUUUCCGUCGGAUCAAGGGAUCCACGGAGCUUUACACCAGUGACACGGUCAUGAACAACCCGCAGUUCGUGAAGGCCACCAUCAUAAAGCAAGACACGCCAGACAAUGAAAAAAUCUAUUACUUCUUCCGAGAGGACAACCCAGACUGGCCAAGGAACUCGGUUGCCCCCAAAAUCAUCUCUCGAGUGGCUCAGUUAUGCAAGGGAGACAAAGGAGGCAGUGGCUCCCUGUCUUCUUCCAAGUGGACAACCUUCCUGAAGGCCACCUUGUUUUGCGUGGAUGAGGCCACCGACCGGCAUUUCAACCAUUUGCAGGAUAUUGUAAUAGUUGAGUCUCCCAUUUGGUCUGAGACGGCAGUGUAUGGGCUCUUCUCAAAUGAAUGGGACUAUUCAGCGGUCUGUGUCUUCUCCGUUGGUGGAAUUAGUGAGGUCUUCCGAAAAUCACACCUCAAAGGCUACAAUGGGAAACUCCCUGCUAUCAGGCCUGGGCAGUGCCCGGGAAGAGAUGAGAUGACUCCCCAAGAAACCUUCAGAGUGGCAGACAGCCAUCCCGAAGUGUUGGACAAAGUGAAAAAGCAAGCUGUGUUUUAUGGCAAGCAUCACUACCAGCAAAUGGGGGUCCAUCAAGUCCAGGCGGCUGAUGAGGCCUCCUACAAUGUCCUCUACUUGACCACAGACAGAGGAACCAUCCAUAAGGUUGUCCUGUUACCAACGGGUGCCAUGAAUGUUCUGGAGAUCCAGCUGUUCCCGUCGUCUGCUCCCGUCCGAUCUAUGACUGUGGACAACAGGAGGAAUGAGCUGUUUGUGGUUUCCACAAGCGCGGUGGUGCAACUCCCCCUGGCCAUGUGCAAAGCGUAUAAGGACAGCUGCGAGAGCUGCGUCUUGGCGAGAGACCCCCACUGCGGAUGGACUGGGGACACGUGUGCUUCCAUCUAUGACCGAGGCCAACACGGGAAUAGGACGCUGUUGCAGGCUCUAACUCAUGAAGUCUCUCCGGAUAUUUGCGCAUCUUCAAACCACAGCAACACAAAAGAAGAUGACACUAUUCGCCAUGAGAACAUACCUGUGCCACUCCAUGCCCGCUAUUAUCUGAAUUGCUCUGUUGAGUCCCACCAUGCCAAUUACACGUGGACCCACAAGGGUCAGAGCAUUGCACAUUGCAGUGCAGGCCACCAUCAUUGUAUCCACUUCAUUGACAACAUGACGGAUGACCUCUAUGGGACCUAUUCCUGCAUUUCCCAAGAGGAUUGGUUCAACGAAACGCUUGUGACUGAGGAUUUGGUCAGCUCAUCUCCCACGACAAGCAAGAGUAAGAGCUUGCCACCAGGAAAUUUGGCCAUCAAGUCAUCUUUAUCCUUCUGGCUGGGCUUGCUGAACAUGGUUGCCAUUGCUACGUUCAUCCAAUAAUGGACCUUCUGGUUUCUUACCAUCGGUGAUCACACAGUGCCUGACGUAUCUCGCUUUCUCUUCAUUUUUGUGCUGAAGAAGCUAUUUUCCACCUGAGUAGCAAGCUGGGGGCUGCCUGUAGCAAGACAGGUAUCCAUAGCUGAUUUUCUAGGAAGAGAAAGUGGGUUGUAACCCAGUAGAAGCAUCUUAGAAGCCUCCAGGUCAGGAUGCAUCAUGGGGUGCAUCAUCAGAAUCAAAUACUGGUGAAGGUAGAAAAGAAUCUUAGGUUGAUUUUACAGAUACUGCACUUCAAUUCACAUCAUACUUGUGGUUGGAGUCAGAUGUGAAUUGGAGUCCAAGAGUAUCUGGACGGUCACAGUGUAUCCACCAUCUGAAACAUCUAGAGACUCCAGUAGGAUGGAGAGAAUGACUGAGGUGGUGUGGAAGGAUCUGGGGAUGGUCCAUUUUGGUUGGUCAUUGGCAAGGGUCACAUUCUGGAUGGUUGGGGUUUGGAACCCAAAGGGCUGAAUGACUUUAUGAUCAUGGAAUGGUUCAGAAGAAGCAGAAGGUUAAGGCCAAGGCCAUGGGGCAAAUACCACCCAUGGUCAAAUCCUGGGAGAGCUCAAAAUUAAUUUGUUAGGCUUAAACUUGGUGGCCAGAGCAGAGGAGAUGAAGGUAAUCAUGCAUGGUCUCCGCCAAGCAUGGAGAACGUGUGUUUCCAUCUUGAUUAUUUCACCACAAUUCCCAUAAUCCUUAGGCAGUGAAAUCAAGGAGGGCAAAUAAUGGAAACUGCAAUCCAGCAAACAUCUCGCCUCUGUUUUACUAGAAUCUUCUACCAUCUACUGGCACCUUACAUUUGUAAAGCCAUUGACUAUAUACCAGUGGUUCCCAGUCUUUGGGCUUCCGGGUGUUUUGAACCAACUCCCAGAAAUCCCAGCCAUCUUGCCAUCUGAAGUCCAAAACACCUGGAGGCCCAAAGGUUGGGAAUCACUGGUAUAUACCCAGGAUCUUUGAACAUAAGUAAGCCAUAUUUAAUUCCCAGGAUAUAUCUUAAUGUAUUGAUACAUUCUGCCAGGUCAAGCUGUUGGAAAGCAUUACACCGUCCACUGCAAAGUGAUCAGUGGGGAGCGUGGGGAGGAAAGUUCCUUCUUUGACCUACAGUUUCCCAAAUCUCCCAGUGACCACAGUGCCUGGGGAUUCUGGGAAUUGUAUUAUCAAAAAAGGACCUUCCCCUUACUAGCUAUGAUCCAGAAUCCAUCCUCUGCUUACUGAUGCCCUAUAUUGUCCAUAUUGCAAAUAUCUACUGUGGUGGGUUGGGGGAUUUCCAGCCCUCCUCCUUGUGUGUUGGAACAGGCUCAAAGGAAGCGUUCCACACCGACAGAUAGGUCACAGAUGUUCGGAAACCCUUUGUCUUUUUUCCCGAUGGGGAGAAGGAUAUUUAUUUAUUUAUUGUAUAUUGUAUUAUAUACAUUCUGGACCAAUGCUCUGGGGCGAAGAUGGAAAGCUCAGGGUAAUGUUACUGAUGGUGGAAAUGGGCCAAAUCAAACAUUCAUGAAAAGGGCAGAUGGCCCCAAACGCGCUUCCCAGCCAACUCAACCUCCUCGGCUGCAAACGACUGCCUGCGUUGCAUGUUGAACGUUAUUCCAAACCUUUGCAAAGCGAUGUCAGUACAAGCGAGACAUAAAAGGGAAGAUCAAAACCUCCCCUUUAUAUUUUGGCUUUCCAACAAAUGUAUUGUUUUUGGUAUCUUUUGGGAAAGGGACCAAUUCAGAGUUGUUUCCAUGCAGUAGCUGGCAUGCAUGGCAACCUUUGGUUGUCCAUAUCCUGUUAUGUUACAUCUCAAUCCAUAAAGGUAUAAACCAGGAAUGGGCAAACUCUGUCCCUCCGGUUGUUGGGAAUGGUGGGAGUCGGAGUCCAAAACACCUGGAGGGCCAAAGUUUGCUCAUGCCUGGUGUAAACUGUGAAAUGUAUGUGUUCUCCUUUUGGGUGGCCAGUGAGAAGAUACUUUCCCAACCUUUUCCGUAUGCCAAGGAGAUGCUAGUGUUGCACUACAAUGCUUAACCUGUCGGUUUGAACAUUCCUUUGAGUUCCUUGUCCUUUGUUGUUUUAUUUCCUUCAAGCACUUUAACUGUAUGUAUAACUUAAUAAUGCAGUGUGGGGAAACGCAGUGCCACUUGUUUGUAUUUGUCUCGUGGUGUUGUUGCAAGAGAAAUAUUUCUAGAAAUGCUUUUUAUACCAGAAAUAAAACUUUUGUCAAACUUA